rnacentral:lncRNA from 1 species
ACUGGAUUAAGCAUGAUAGGGGAGGAAACUCAAAUAUUACAGCAAGUCUCGUAGCCUUGAUAUAAUAUUUUGUUUAAACUUGUAUACUGUUAUUUGAGAUACAUUUGUUGAAGAAUCUCGAAGGUCAUAAAGGCUACAAAAUAACCAAUACUGCCUUUCAGACAAUUGUGUCCUGAAAUAAGAAACUUAUCUUCAUCUUUAAUAGGAUCAAAACAAGAAAUGUACGACUAAAUAUCGUCAAUACUCUCGAGUCAUACCUACAUGUAAGUUCAUUAUUUUACAGAUACUUCGAUUUUAUCCUGGGGGUCACUUACUACGUACUUAUGGGUAGGGAUGAGUAACUUGAUCAGCCAUUUAAUUUUAAGCUUUAUAUGAUUAAGGCCAGAUUUAAAUGAUAUCAUAACGGCAAUUUUCAAAACGCUUAGACAUUUCCAGUGCACCGUUAUGAUUCAAAUAUGAUGUAAUGGUAUAGAAAAACCUUGCAGCUGAGUAACUAUUGACAAAAACAUGCUACAUUUGAGAAAAAUGACCGUAAAGAUUUUACCUUUAUAUCUACCGUCGCCAUAUUGGGAUAAUCGUAAUUCCAGUUACGAUUAUCUCUUUAAUACCAGUGAUGUAUACUAUUG